AGCGGCCUUUGCGGUUCCAACAUGGCGGAGCUGACGGUGGAGGUUCGCGGCUCUAACGGGGCUUUCUACAAGGAUUUAUCAAAGAUGUUCAUGAAGACUCCCUUACAGUUGUUUUUGAAAAUAAUGGCAACCAGAACGCCAGGUUCCAUUUAAUGAAGUUAGAUUACCACCACCACCUGAUAUAAAAAAAGAAAUUAGUGAAGGAGAUGAAGUAG
rnacentral:lncRNA from 1 species